rnacentral:rRNA from 1 species
UACGGGGGGGGCAAGCGUUGUUCGGAAUUACUGGGCGUAAAGGGCUCGUAGGCGGCGAACUAAGUCAGACGUGAAAUCCCUCGGCUUAACCGGGGAACUGCGUCUGAUACUGGAUGGCUUGAAUCCGGGAGAGGGAUGCGGAAUUCCAGGUGUAGCGGUGAAAUGCGUAGAUAUCUGGAGGAACACCGGUGGCGAAGGCGGCAUCCUGGACCGGCAUUGACGCUGAGGAGCGAAAGCCAGGGGAGCAAACGGG